rnacentral:rRNA from 1 species
GGCCUAACACAUGCAAGUCGAGGGGUAACGAUGUAGCUUGCUACAGGCGACGACCGGCGCACGGGUGCGUAACGCGUAUGAAACCUGCCUUAUACUGGGGGAUAGCCCGAAGAAAUUCGGAUUAAUACCCCAUAAUAUUAUUAGAUGGCAUCAUUUAAUAAUUAAAACUCCGGUGGUAUAAGAUGGUCAUGCGUGACAUUAGCUAGUUGGUAAGGUAAUGGCUUACCAAGGCAACGAUGUCUAGGGGUUCUGAGAGGAAGGUCCCCCACACUGGUACUGAGACACGGACCAGACUCCUACGGGAGGCAGCAGUGAGGAAUAUUGGUCAAUGGACGCAAGUCUGAACCAGCCAUGUCGCGUGCAGGAAGACUGCCCUAUGGGUUGUAAACUGCUUUUAUACGGGAAGAAAUAUAGCUACGUGUAGUUAUUUGCCGGUACCGUAUGAAUAAGCAUCGGCUAACUCCGUGCCAGCAGCCGCGGUAAUACGGAGGAUGCGAGCGUUAUCCGGAUUCAUUGGGUUUAAAGGGUGCGUAGGCGGAAGUAUAAGUCAGGGGUGAAAGUUUGUGGCUCAACCAUAAAAUUGCCUUUGAUACUGUAUUUCUUGAGUACAUUUGAGGUAGGCGGAAUGUGUUGUGUAGCGGUGAAAUGCUUAGAUAUAACACAGAACACCGAUUGCGAAGGCAGCUUACUAAACUGUAACUGACGCUGAUGCACGAAAGCGUGGGGAUCGAACAGGAUUAGAUACCCUGGUAGUCCACGCCGUAAACGAUGAUAACUAGUUGUUUGCAAUAGACCGUAAGCGACAAAGCGAAAGCAUUAAGUUAUCCACCUGGGGAGUACGUUGGCAACAAUGAA